rnacentral:rRNA from 1 species
CCUACGGGUGGCAGCAGUCGAGAAUCAUUCACAAUGGGGGAAACUCUGAUGCUGCGAUGCCGCGUGGAUGAAUGAAGUUCUUCGGUUGUUAAACUCCUUUCAUGUGGGCGCAGAUGAUGAAGGUAGUACCACAAGAAGAAGAGGCGGCUAACUCGGUGCCAGCAGCCGCGGUAAUACAGAGGUCUCAAGCGUUGGUCGUGAUGACGGGGCGUAAGGGGUGCGGAGGCUGUUUAGUAAGUCGGAAGUGAAAGGCGCGGGCUCAACCCCGGAACGGCACACAAUACUGGGGGACUAGAGUAGUGGAGGGGGAAGCGGAAUUCCUGGUGUAGCAGUGAAAUGCGUAGAUAUUGGGAGGAACACCAGUGGCGAAGGCGGGUUACUGGACAAUAACUGACGCUGAGGCACGAAGGCCAGGGUAGCGAAAGGGAUUAGAUACCCGUGUAGUC